rnacentral:vault_RNA from 1 species
AGGCCAGCUUAGCCUAACGGUUCCGUCUCCUUUGUUGCAAAGUCACCGUUACUGAGUUCGAGUCCCGUGGGGCCUGUCUGGCCUUUCU